GAUCCUGGCUUAGGAUGAACGCUAGCUACAGGCUUAACACAUGCAAGUCGAGGGGCAGCAUGAUCUAGCUUGCUAGAAUGAUGGCGACCGGCGCACGGGUGAGUAACGCGUAUCCAACCUUCCCUAUAGUAGAGGAUAGCCCGGCGAAAGUCGGAUUAAUACUCUAUGUUGUUCAAUGCGGACAUCUAAGUUGAACCAAAGGUUUACCGCUAUAGGAUGGGGAUGCGUCUGAUUAGAUGGUAGGCGGGGUAACGGCCCACCUAGUCGACGAUCAGUAGGGGUUCUGAGAGGAAGGUCCCCCACAUUGGAACUGAGACACGGUCCAAACUCCUACGGGAGGCAGCAGUGAGGAAUAUUGGUCAAUGGGCGAGAGCCUGAACCAGCCAAGUAGCGUGCAGGAAUGACGGCCCUAUGGGUUGUAAACUGCUUUUAUAUAGGGAUAAAGUGCACUACGUGUAGUGUUUUGUAGGUACUAUAUGAAUAAGGACCGGCUAAUUCCGUGCCAGCAGCUGC
rnacentral:rRNA from 1 species